rnacentral:tRNA from 1 species
GGUAGCGAAGUGGUCUGGCAGCGGCCUGCAAAGCCGUGUAGACGGGUUCGACUCCCGUCC